CUACGUGCCAGCAGCCGCGGUAAUACGGAAGGUCCAGGCGUUAUCCGGAUUUAUUGGGUUUAAAGGGAGCGUAGGCCGUGGAUUAAGCGUGUUGUGAAAUGUAGACGCUCAACGUCUGAAUUGCAGCGCGAACUGGUUCACUUGAGUAUGCACAACGUAGGCGGAAUUCGUCGUGUAGCGGUGAAAUGCUUAGAUAUGACGAAGAACUCCGAUUGCGAAGGCAGCUUACGGGAGCACAACUGACGCUGAAGCUCGAAGGUGCGGGUAUCAAACAGGAUUAGAUACCCUGGUAGUCCGCACAGUAAACGAUGGAUGCCCGUUGUUAGUUCACUUAUGAAUUAGCGACCAAGCGAAAGCAUUAAGCAUCCCACCUGGGGAGUACGCCGGCAACGGUGAAACUCAAAGGAAUUGACGGGGGCCCGCACAAGCGGAGGAACAUGUGGUUUAAUUCGAUGAUACGCGAGGAACCUUACCCGGGCU
rnacentral:rRNA from 1 species